GGGCGAUUAAAGGUUUGUUGUGAUUGGGUAUUGGGAAGAAACCGAAGAAGAUUGGGUUGAUUUUAUUUAGUUGAAAAAGUGAAAUUUAUUAGUUGUUGGUAGAGUUGAGUGAGAGUUGGGAUCUUGAAUCUUUGAAGUCUGAGGUGUAGAAUAGGAUUAGAUACCCUAUUAUACUUAGUUUAAAUUAUAGUUGGAUCUUUGAGUAGUAAUCAGGUAUAGUCUCGAAACUCAAAGAAUUUGGCGGUAUCUAAGUCUAGUUAGAGGAAUUUGUGCAAUAAACGAUAGUCCGCGAGAAUCUUGCCUUGCUUUGUAGCCGUUCAGUUUGUAUACCGCCAUUAUUAGAUAAUCUUUUUAGAGAAUUAUUAUAAUUAAGAGUAGUUAAAUAUAUUAGGUCAAGGUGCAGCUUAUAGUAGGGGUGUCAUGAAUUACAAUGGUAUAAGUGAUAGACGGAUUGGUCGUGGGAGUUGCGAUCUUUAAGGUGGAUUUAAUUGUAAGGGAUGUGGAUUAUGCUUGGUCUGAUAGGAGCUCUUGGAUAUGUACACAUCGCCCGUCGUUCUCACUUU
rnacentral:rRNA from 1 species